rnacentral:lncRNA from 1 species
UCCCCAGCCUGGUGUGAGGAUGUGGCACUCACUGAUCAGGAGACUCUCACCCAAGAUUUGCUGAAUCACUGGCUCUCCCUGAUCCACUCUGCCAGGGAAGGGAGUGCAGGAGUUUUUGUGUGGGAAUUACCAGGGAAAACCCUCUAAGAAGGAUAAAAAUAAUGAUGCUUCCAAUGUCCCAUGGGGAACUCCAGAGCCCAGGGAAAGUGCAAAAAGGCAGGAAUGGACUUCCAGUGGGAUGAGGAGGCUGGAGAAAAUCUCCUUCCAUAUCACACCUUGGUCACAUCACUCAGCCCUGCUGGGAGCUCCAGGAGGUGAGAAAUGUCACCAAUGCAGGUUUGCUGCUGUCCCUCAGAUGUUUUGCCAUCCAGUUUGGGCACUCCAGGAAGAAUUUGCUGCAUCACAAGCUGGAAGCACUGAGGAGUCCAGAGCUGCUUUCCUGAAGACCAAUAUUUUUUAUUGUCUUCUGCCCAAUUAA